rnacentral:rRNA from 1 species
GACAGAGGGUGCAAACGUUGUUCGGAAUUACUGGGCGUAAAGCGCGUGUAGGCGGCUCUGCAAGUCGGAUGUGAAAUCCCACGGCUCAACCAUGGAAGUGCAUUCGAAACUGCAGGGCUAGAGUUCUGGAGAGGAAGGUGGAAUGCUUGGUGUAGAGGUGAAAUUCGUAGAUAUCAAGCGGAACACCGGUGGCGAAGGCGGCCUUCUGGACAGUAACUGACGCUGAGACGCGAAAGCGUGGGGAGCGAACGGG